UACGUAUGGUGCAAGCGUUAUCCGGAUUUACUGGGUGUAAAGGGAGCGCAGGCGGCGCGUUAAGCCUGGUGUGAAAGCCCGCGGCCCAACCGCGGGACUGCAUUGGGAACUGGCGCGCUGGAGUGCCGGAGGGGUAGGCGGAAUUCCUAGUGUAGCGGUGAAAUGCGUAGAUAUUAGGAGGAACACCAGUGGCGAAGGCGGCCUACUGGACGGUGACUGACGCUGAGGCUCAAAAGCGUGGGGAGCAAACAGG
rnacentral:rRNA from 1 species